GAUGAAGAACGUAGCGAAAUGCGAUAAGUAAUGUGAAUUGCAGAAUUCCGUGAAUCAUCGAAUCUUUGAACGCAUAUUGCGCCCUCUGGUAUUCCGGAGGGCAUGCCUGUCCGAGCGUCAUUUCAACCAUCAAGCCCCAGGCUUGCGUUGGAGCCCUGCGGCUGCCGCAGCCUCCUAAAAGCAGUGGCGGGCUCGCUAUCACACCGAGUGCAGUAGAUUACUCUUCGCUCAGGGCGUGCAGCGGGUUCCGGCCGUGAAACCCCCUACUUUUAAAGGUUGACCUCGGAUCAGGUAGGAAUACCCGCUGAACUUAAGCAUAUCAAUAAGCGGAGGA
rnacentral:misc_RNA from 1 species